rnacentral:rRNA from 1 species
CGAACGGGUGAGUAACGCGUGAGGAACCUGCCUCAAAGAGGGGGACAACAGUUGGAAACGACUGCUAAUACCGCAUAAGCCCACGGCUCGGCAUCGAGCAGAGGGAAAAGGAGCAAUCCGCUUUGAGAUGGCCUCGCGUCCGAUUAGCUAGUUGGUGAGGUAACGGCCCACCAAGGCGACGAUCGGUAGCCGGACUGAGAGGUUGAACGGCCACAUUGGGACUGAGACACGGCCCAG